CCUACGGGAGGCAGCAGUAGGGAAUAUUGCUCAAUGGGGGAAACCCUGAAGCAGCAACGCCGCGUGGAGGAUGAAGGUUUUCGGAUUGUAAACUCCUUUUGUUAGAGAAGAUAAUGACGGUAUCUAACGAAUAAGCACCGGCUAACUCCGUGCCAGCAGCCGCGGUAAUACGGAGGGUGCAAGCGUUACUCGGAAUCACUGGGCGUAAAGAGCGCGUAGGCAGGAUAGCAAGUCAGAUGUGAAAUCCUAUGGCUUAACCAUAGAACUGCAUUUGAAACUGGUAUUCUAGAGUAUGGGAGAGGUAGGUGGAAUUCUUGGUGUAGCGGUAAAAUGCGUAGAGAUCAAGAGGAAUACUCAUUGCGAAGGCGACCUGCUAGAACAUAACUGACGCUGAUGCGCGAAAGCGUGGGGAGCAAACAGGAUUAGAUACCCUUGUAGUC
rnacentral:rRNA from 1 species